rnacentral:rRNA from 1 species
AACGAACGCUGGCGGCAGGCUUAACACAUGCAAGUCGAGCGCCCCGCAAGGGGAGCGGCAGACGGGUGAGUAACGCGUGGGAAUCUACCCAUCUCUACGGAAUAACGCAUGGAAACGUGUGCUAAUACCGUAUACGUCCUUCGGGAGAAAGAUUUAUCGGAGAUGGAUGAGCCCGCGUUGGAUUAGCUAGUUGGUGGGGUAAAGGCCUACCAAGGCGACGAUCCAUAGCUGGUCUGAGAGGAUGAUCAGCCACACUGGGACUGAGACACGGCCCAGACUCCUACGGGAGGCAGCAGUGGGAAUAUUUGACAAUGGGCGCAAGCCUGAUCCAGCCAUGCCGCGUGAGUGAUGAAGGCCCUAGGGUUGUAAAGCUCUUUCACCGGUGAAGAUAAUGACGGUAACCGGAGAAGAAGCCCCGGCUAACUUCGUGCCAGCCGCCGCAGUAACAC